GGUCGGGAUAGCUCAGCU
rnacentral:tRNA from 2 species